GUCCCGCCGCUCCUCUUUCCCCCCUCCCUACCCGGCCCAGCUUUCGAGGGUGGUGUGAGAAAGGAAGAGGCAUGCAGCCAGUUUACUGGAUUAAAGGAAUGCAAAGCAUUUAUGACUACAAGCAUAAUCUGAUUUCCCAGGAGAGAAUCUGGCCAGAAGUGAUGUUAAUCUGGGAGUGAGUCAAACUCUCUGGUUCAAGAACUUCACUGCAGUUGUUUCCUCGAGGAAUUUCGAGAGAGCCCAAGACUACACUUUAUUGCAAGCAGGCCUUACAUGGCAUGGGAUCAAGUUGUUUGAAGGACUGUCUCUUCCUGGUUAUAUCUGCCCAUUCCACCAAGUCCAGCAGAAGAGGUAUGCUCCAAAUCCCAUCUGGAGUUCCAUCUGGCUGGAUCCAGGAGAGGCAUCUUUUCUGAUGUAGCCUGCGCCCUCUGGAACAUCAUUUCCCCUGAGGUGAGGUUAGCCCCAUUUCUUUCAGACUUCUGGAAAGCCUUGGAAAUGUAAAUCUUCCAUCAAGACUAGUGAGUCUGUAGAAUGGUUGAAAGAAGCUAAAUGAUGCUUGUCCUCUUACUCUCUUGGGGUUCCUUUUGUUUUUAUUUAUUAUUUUUGCAGUUAUUUAUGUCUGCUUUUUUAAAAUAUUGUGAUAUGGUUAUUUUGCUUGUAAAUUGACUUUUUGUGAGAUAGCAAUAGCAAUAGCAGUUAGACUUAUAUACCGCUUCAUAGGGCUUUCAG